UAGAUGCGCUCUUCAAUUUUAUUGUUUUUCUUUUUUUUUACUGUCGGUAUCUUCAGUCUAUUCUUCUUGUAGUAAUUUUCAUGAAUCUUUCUAUGCGUCAGCCGGUUACGGGUUUGGAGAUUGCAAUUUCUCUGAGACAUUUCUGUUUUCAUAAAGGCAAGUUCUUAGUGUGUUUUCACUUUUAGGGUGAGUCUCAGACAAUCUCUUUAUGUCCUUCUGUUUAGUGUUUUCAAGUCUACUUUUCUUUGAUCAUGUUGGUUAAGUUGCUAAUGGAGUUUACAGAUGUAAAAGUUUUUCAUUAGAUUUAUCAAAAAACUAAUGGUAAAAUAAAAAUUAUAAUGAAAACUAAGGAUCAAAAUUUAAAGCAUAUUAUAUAGUCAAAAUUUCUUUGAAAUCGAAAAAAAUUUAGAAAUAAUUUGC
rnacentral:lncRNA from 1 species